rnacentral:rRNA from 1 species
UACGUAGGGUGCAAGCGUUUGUCCGGAAUUAUUGGGCGUAAAGAGCGUGUAGGCGGCCCGAUUAGUCCGCUGUGAAAGUCCAGGGCUCAACCCUGGAAUGCCGGUGGAUACUGUCGGGCUAGAGUCCGGAAGGGGCGAGUGGAAUUCCUGGUGUAGCGGUGGAAAUGCGCAGAUAUCAGGAGGAACACCAAUGGCGAAGGCAGCUCGCUGGGACGUGACUGACGCUGAGACGCGAAAGCGUGGGGAGCAAACAGG